rnacentral:rRNA from 1 species
UACGUAGGGGGCAAGCGUUGUCCGGAUUUAUUGGGCGUAAAGAGCGUGUAGGCGGCCAAGCAGGUCAGCUGUGAAAACUCGAGGCUCAACCUCGAGACGUCGGUUGAAACCGCUUGGCUAGAGUCCGGAAGAGGAGAGUGGAAUUCCCGGUGUAGCGGUGAAAUGCGCAGAUAUCGGGAAGAACACCCGUGGCGAAGGCGGCUCUCUGGGACGGUACUGGACGCUGAGA